rnacentral:misc_RNA from 1 species
GUAGGUGAACCUGCGGAAGGAUCAUUAUAGAGAACAUGCCCUCUAGGGUAGAUCUCCCCACCCUAUGUUUAUUUAUCUUUGUUGCUUUGGCAGGCCCGUCUCACGACCACCGGCUUUGGCUGGUCAGUGCCUGCCAGAGGACCUAAACUCUAAAUUUAUUGUUGUCUGAGAAUAAUAAAAUAGUUAAAACUUUCAACAACGGAUCUCUUGGUUCUG